GGUAGUCCACGCUGUAAACGAUGUCGAUUUGGAGGUUGUGCCCUUGAGGCGUGGCUUCCGGAGCUAACGCGUUAAAUCGACCGCCUGGGGAGUACGGCCGCAAGGUUAAAACUCAAAUGAAUUGACGGGGGCCCGCACAAGCGGUGGAGCAUGUGGUUUAAUUCGAUGCAACGCGAAGAACCUUACCUACUCUUGACAUCCAGAGAACUUAGCAGAGAUGCUUUGGUGCCUUCGGGAACUCUGAGACAGGUGCUGCAUGGCUGUCGUCAGCUCGUGUUGUGAAAUGUUGGGUUAAGUCCCGCAACGAGCGCAACCCUUAUCCUUUGUUGCCAGCGGUUCGGCCGGGAACUCAAAGGAGACUGCCAGUGAUAAACUGGAGGAAGGUGGGGAUGACGUCAAGUCAUCAUGGCCCUUACGAGUAGGGCUACACACGUGCUACAAUGGCAUAUACAAAGAGAAGCGACCUCGCGAGAGCAAGCGGACCUCAUAAAGUAUGUCGUAGUCCGGAUUGGAGUCUGCAACUCGACUCCAUGAAGUCGGAAUCGCUAGUAAUCGUAGAUCAGAAUGCUACGGUGAAUACGUUCCCGGGCCUUGUACACACCGCCCGUCACACCAUGGGAGUGGGUUGCAAAAGAAGUAGGUAGCUUAACCUUCGGGAGGGCGCUUACCACUUUGUGAUUCAUGACUGGGGU
rnacentral:rRNA from 1 species